rnacentral:rRNA from 1 species
AUUGAACGCUGGCGGCAGGCCUAACACAUGCAAGUCCAACGGGAGCACAGAGAGCUUGCUCUCGGGUGACGAGUGGCGGACGGGUGAGUAAUGUCUGGGAAACUGCCCGAUGGAGGGGGAUAACUACUGGAAACGGUAGCUAAUACCGCAUAACGUCGCAAGACCAAAGAGGGGGACCUUCGGGCCUCUUGCCAUCGGAUGUGCCCAGAUGGGAUUAGCUUGUACGCGAGGUAACGGCUCACCUAUGCGACGAUCCCUAGCUGGUCUGAGAGGAUGACCAGCCACAGCUGGAACUGAGACACCGUCCACACUCCUACGGGAGGCAGCAGUGGGGAAUAUUGCACAAUGGGCGCAAGCCUGAUGCAGCCAUGCCGCGUGUAUGAAGAAGGCCUUCCGGUUGUAAAGUACUUUCAGCGUGGAUGAAGGGAGUGAGGAUAAUAACCUCUUUCAUUGACGUUACCCCCAGAAGAAGCACCGGCUAACUCCGUGUCAUCAGCGCCGUAAUACGGAAGGUGCGAGCGUUAAUUUGAAUUACUGGGCGUAAGCGCACGCUGGCGGUCUGUCAAGUCGGAUGUGAAAUCCCCGGGCUCAACCUGGGAACUGCAUUCGAAACUGGCAGGCUGGAGUCUUGUAGAGGGGGGUAGAAUUCCAGGUGUAGCGGUGAAAUGCGUAGAGAUCUGGAGGAAUACCGGUGGCGAAGGCGGCCCCCUGGACAAAGACUGACGCUCAGGUGCGAAAGCGUGGGGAGCAAACGGGAUUAGAUACCCUGGUAGUCCACGCUGUAAACGAUGUCGACUUGGAGGUUGUUCCCUUGAGGAGUGGCUUCCGGAGCUAACGCGUUAAGUCGACCGCCUGGGGAGUACGGCCGCAAGGUUAAAACUCAAAUGAAUUGACGGGGGCCCGCACAAGCGGUGGAGCAUGUGGUUUAAUUCGAUGCAACGCGAAGAACCUUACCUACUCUUGACAUCCAGAGAACUUAGCAGAGAUGCUUUGGUGCCUUCGGGAACUCUGAGACAGGUGCUGCAUGGCUGUCGUCAGCUCGUGUUGUGAAAUGUUGGGUUAAGUCCCGCAACGAGCGCAACCCUUAUCCUUUGUUGCCAGCGAUUCGGUCGGGAACUCAAAGGAGACUGCCAGUGAUAAACUGGAGGAAGGUGGGGAUGACGUCAAGUCAUCAUGGCCCUUACGAGUAGGGCUACACACGUGCUACAAUGGCAUAUACAAAGAGAAGCGACCUCGCGAGAGCAAGCGGACCUCAUAAAGUAUGUCGUAGUCCGGAUUGGAGUCUGCAACUCGACUCCAUGAAGUCGGAAUCGCUAGUAAUCGUGGAUCAGAAUGCCACGGUGAAUACGUUCCCGGGCCU